rnacentral:antisense_RNA from 1 species
UCGGAGUGCAGCGGGGUUAGGGUGGACGAGGACGUGUUGCACCCUGAAGAGCCUCAUCAUCGGUGAGAGUGGGGUGGGCAAGUCCAGCCUGCUCUUGAGGUUCACAGAUGAUACCUUUGAUCCAGAACUUGCAGCAACAAUAGACAAUGCAGGAAUCACAUGAACCUGUCCAUCCACAGAUAAAGUGGUAAAGAAACUGCCGUAUUAGAUACAUGAUGGUAUACUCUUCAGCCAUAAAGCUUCGGGAAACCCUGUCAUCCGCAACCACGUGGAGAAACCUGUCCAUCCACAGAUGAAGGGAUCAGGAAGCUCUGGUAUAUAUACUGAAGGGAAAUGCUUUUUGGCUACCAAAAUAAUGAAAUUAUGUUGUUUGGAGCAACACAGAUGAACCUGUCCAUCCA